rnacentral:rRNA from 1 species
UGGGGAAUUUUGGACAAUGGGCGAAAGCCUGAUCCAGCAAUGCCGCGUGUGUGAAGAAGGCCUUCGGGUUGUAAAGCACUUUUGUCCGGAAAGAAAUCCUUGGCUCUAAUACAGUCGGGGGAUGACGGUACCGGAAGAAUAAGCACCGGCUAACUACGUGCCAGCAGCCGCGGUAAUACGUAGGGUGCAAGCGUUAAUCGGAAUUACUGGGCGUAAAGCGUGCGCAGGCGGUUUGCUAAGACCGAAUGUGAAAUCCCCGGGCUCAACCUGGGAACUGCAUUGGUGACUGGGCAGGCUAGAGUAUGGCAGAGGGGGGUAGAAUUCCACGUGUAGCAGUGAAAAGUGCGUAGAGAUGUGGAGGAAUACCGAUGGCGAAGGCAGCCCCCUGGGGCCAAAUACUGACGCUCAUGCAGCGAAAAGCGUGGGGGAGCAAAACAGGAUUAGA